rnacentral:lncRNA from 1 species
GGUCAUCAAUACAACAGAGCACCACUCCUCAGGUCUGAAUUGCUCCAGCUCCUCUGAAGGGAGGCUGUGAGGACUGGCCAGGGAUUGCUCACAGGAGCCUGCUAGCACUGAAUGCAUUCAGUCCCAGCACUCAGAAGGCAGAGGCAGAGUUGCGGGUUCUAGGCCAGACUAGGCUACUACAUAGUAAGCACCUGUCUCAAAACAAAACAAAAAAAAUCCCCUAAGACAUCUGUCAUGGGCUGCGACCAGGAACCUUGCAAGGACUCCAAUCUGGUAAAUACCUGCUGGGAAAUGGAUCUGUUUGCAGCCCACCUCCUUUCUGGGUCUGUCGUCCCAAGUGUGGAAGCCUCAGCCAAGACCAUGCUGUGAUACUUUUCAUCUUGGCUUGUGCCCCAGAGGUAACAGGUGAACCACAAACCCUGCUUUGCAGGUCUUUCUCAAGCCUAGGCCAAGCAGGGUGCCCUGGCACAGGGCCAGGGUCACCCUAUUGCUGGUGGCUGAACUCAACUGGGAGUGUGUAGUUUCCCUUGGGAAAGAAGGUGGGGACACUCCCAUUCAGCUGCAACUUCCUGUCCCAGAACCACAGUCUGCACAGAAAACCUCACUGCUAGAGAUCACAGUCCCUGUCUCCCCUCUGGAUGAGGUAGUCAAAGGGACCCCAAGGCAGAGAGAAGAUCUGGGUUUUGUCUGUCUUCUACUUUGAAUGUGUGUCACCCAAGGAUGCCACCCUCUCUGAAUUAAUUUACUAAUCGGUAAAUGGAAGAUCCUGAGAACGUCCUCCCCAUGUGACCUGACACAGCUGUCAUGAGUCUGCCAUGAGAUGUUGUUACAGGCCAGAAUGCCGUGUCAUUUGUAAGGUCUGCAUGGGCACAGACCAGCUGGCAUGAGGAUCCGGAGGUGAAAACGGAGGAGAGAUGAAGUGGCUGUCAUUACCACUAUCUUCUCUUGAAUUUCUCUCUUCUAUCGGCCACUGGGAGACUCAAGGCUGAGCCUCUCACAUAGGUUGCUUCGUUUAAAGUCCAUGAUAUCUCUGCAAGAUAUGUGCCCCGCUUUCAUUUUAUAGUGAGGGAAACUGAAACUCAGGGAGUUAACAUAACUCGCCAGAGCCUGUUGCAUCCAGUGGGACCAGGGCUCCAUUUUACGUCUUGGGAAGCUUAUGCCUGAGGGGCUCUGCCACCCUCUCAGAACCCUCCUGGGUGAAGAUGUGACAGCCCAGCUGGCCCCCCAGUGCUGUGUGUAUACAGUUCUUGAGGCUUGCAUUUGUCCUUCUAGAUAAGGCAUAGCAUUCCUGGCCACCCCUUUGUGUACCUCCCCCCCCCCAGCUCCUGUGGUAAGCUCCCAGUCACAAGUUGCCUCUGGGUUCCUGGUUGGUACUUGGGGUUCAAUUGUGUGGUUCUGGAGGAAAGAGUCAGGGCAGAGCCACUGUCUGUUGUCCUGGCCCUCUCAGGCUGAUUGAGGCUGUGUGGAAAGUCCUGGGUGGCCUGGUGGAGGCUCAGCAGCCUUGCUUCUGUUUCCCCCUGCUGGGUUUUCUGUCUUGCUGCAGUGAGGACAGUAACUGUCUCUUCCUGUGCACCGUGCUGGGCCGCCACUACCAGCUGCUGCUGGAGCUCUGUGACAUGCAUGGAAAAACAAAGGCCUCGGGAGCUUCAGGCCUUGCCAGGCUGGGAAGGAAGAAGAUAAAGCAUCUUAGUGUGGCACUGGCCACUUACUCGUGGGCUCUCCGUAUCCUCUCCAGGCCAUUCCCCCUUUCACACCCCAUAAUAGCUUCCUUGGUGUCUUCCCCAGUGGACCGCACCUGACUGGCCUGGCCACCCUAUGGUUCUCACACCUUCUCUGAUCGCUCUUCUCCCACCAGCCUGCUGGGAGCACAGUUCAUAAAUGUAUUUCUUACCUGCAAAUAAGGCGACUCCCAAAGAAUAUUUAUCCAAAGGCAUGCUAAUCUACAGGUGCCCAGGCACUGUGGAUAGGAGGGUGGGCCCAGCCAGAACAGUUCUCUGCCCUAGAUAUCCUGAAAUUUGGAAGGAAGUAGGGAGGAAGAAAAGAGGUGUUUAGCAUGAAACAAGCGUGGUGACAGCUACCAAGUAUCUCCUCAGGCUUGGGUAUGGUAGCCCAUUCCUGUAUCCAGCCCUGAGGAAGCUGAAGCAGGAGGAUGAGUUUGAGGCCAGCUUGGAUUCAUAGUGAGUUCUAGGGUAGCCUAGACUAAAUAGGAAGAUAGUGUCUCCAAAACAAAACUGUCCUCAUGGAUGACAGAGGUGACAGAAGGGUCCCAAAGAACCAGCAGGAUCUUGCCACCGCAUUGUUUUCUGUUGUUGUCACCGAGUUUCUCCACUGGUAGGUGCUAACAAGGCCAGAGCCGCUUUUCUUCUUUUCCGAGGGAGGGAGGAUGCUCUUAUUUGUCUGCCCAGUAAGAGGCAUGUGCCAGUGUGGUGGGUGACAGAAAGAGGGUAAUUACUGUGAGAUAAGAUUUGAGUUCAGCGGCUAACUGUCCAGCAGGCCAGUCCUGGCAAUGUGUGUCUGCACUCUUAGCAUAUAUAGGAGGUGGAGGUGGGGUGCAGAGGCUGCCAGUUUCAGGCUGGUCUGGGUUUCCUCACAAGAUCCUGUCUCCCUGGCAGUGGAGGUGGGGAGGGGGGAAGAUAAGCAUUUGAACAGGUAAUGAGCUUCCUGUCCUUGGAAGGAUCCCAGUAGAGGCUGAUGAUGGAGGCAGGGAAGACAUUCCUUCCUUGGUAGGGGUGCCACGUCAUUGGCUGAGCUCCAUAGGAACCAUUCUCUUAACCUGAGCCCCCUUUUUACCUGACUCUCGGGAGACCCAGGGCUGUGGAUAUGCUAAGCAGGUACUCUGUCACCAGGCCACACCUCAAGCCCCAGAGUCCCUCACGAAGGCCAUCCACCCAACAUCUUUAAGAAAAAUAUCCCCAAAAGAAAGCCAUGGAACCUCAAGUGAGAUCUUAGAGGAGUCACAGCAGGUAGAAAGAAGGGGAUUGUAUAACCUGGUGUGGAAAGUCCCUAGAGGCCCGAGAAACAGAAUGGCCUGGUGUGACUGGGUUAUUAGGUUGGAGGUGAGUCUCCGAUGGGCCACCCCUGCCAGUAUGCCUCCCCUACACAACACCUGCCAAGGAAAGAAAGGUGAGAAGAACUGGUGUUUCCUAAGGCUGAGCUGAGUUCAGGUGCUGCCCUGUGUGCAUCAGACAUUCCGGCAGCCCUAAAGAUGACACAACACUGGUUCCUGUUUUAUGGAGUCAGACUCAAUACCUUUGCACAACGAGGCUAUUCCCAUUUUAUAGAUGAGGAAACCAAGGCAUAUUUAAAUGCUUUGCCCAGAGUUACAGAGCUUUAAGAGCCAAAACUGGGGCUGGUGAGAUGGCUCAGCAGGUAAGAGCACUGACUGCUCUUCUGAAGGUCCUGAGUUCAAAUCCCAGCAACCACACGGUGGCUCACAACCACCUGUAAUGAGAUCUGAUGCCCUUUUCUGGUGCAUCUGAAGUCAGCUACAGUGUACUUAUGUAUAAUAAGAAAUCUUUGGGCCGGAGCAAGCCAGGGACUAAGCGAGUGGGGUUGACUGGAACGAGCAGAGGUCCUAAAAAUUCAGUUUCCAGGAACCACAUGAAGGGUUACAACCAUCUAUACAGCUACAGUGUACUCACGUACAUAAAAAAAAUAAAUCU